GUCCCUGUGGAUCACGCUAGAUCGUCCAAGCACCUUGAGGGUUGAAGAACCACCGUUUGCUUUGGAAGGCGGCGGUUCGACUCCGCCCGGGGACA